rnacentral:rRNA from 1 species
CACGUAGGCACCAAGCGUUGUCCGGAUUUAUUGGGCGUAAAGAGCUCGUAGGCGGUUCAGUAAGUCGGGUGUGAAAACUCUGGGCUCAACCCAGAGACGCCACCCGAUACUGCUGUGACUUGAGUACGGUAGGGGAGUGGGGAAUUCCUGGUGUAGCGGUGAAAUGCGCAGAUAUCAGGAGGAACACCGGUGGCGAAGGCGGCAUCCUGGACCGAGAUUGACGCUGAGGCGCGAAAGCCAGGGGAGCAAACGGG